rnacentral:misc_RNA from 1 species
GAUGAAGAACGUAGCGAAAUGCGAUAAGUAAUGUGAAUUGCAGAGUUCAGUGAAUCAUCGAAUCUUUGAACGCACAUUGCGCCCGUCAGUAUUCUGACGGGCAUGCCUGUCCGAGCGUCAUUUCAACCCUCAAGCACUGCUUGGCGUUGGAGGAUUGCGUGCCCUCGCGGCGCUGCAACCGCCCAAAUACAGUGGCGGUCCCGCUGCGGCUCCCUUUGCGUAGUAACUCACCUCGCACUGGACCGGGCGGCGGCCUGCCGUAAAACCCCAACUCACGAAAUGUUGACCUCGGAUCAGGUAGGAAUACCCGCUGAACUUAAGCAUAUCAAUAAGCGGAGGA